rnacentral:rRNA from 1 species
AUUGAACGCUGGCGGCAGGCUUAACACAUGCAAGUCGAGCGGGGUGAUGGUGCUUGCACUAUCACUUAGCGGCGGACGGGUGAGUAAUGCUUAGGAAUCUGCCUAUUAGUGGGGGACAACAUCUCGAAAGGGAUGCUAAUACCGCAUACGUCCUACGGGAGAAAGCAGGGGAUCACUUGUGACCUUGCGCUAAUAGAUGAGCCUAAGUCGGAUUAGCUAGUUGGUGGGGUAAAGGCCUACCAAGGCGACGAUCUGUAGCGGGUCGGAGAGGAUGAUCCGCCACACUGGGACUGAGACACGGCCCAGACUCCUACGGGAGGCAGCAGUGGGGAAUAUUGGACAAUGGGGGGAACCCUGAUCUAGCCAUGCCGCGUGUGUGAAGAAGGCCUUAUGGUUGUAAAGCACUUUAAGCGAGGAGGAGGCUCUUUUGGUUAAUACCCAAGAUGAGUGGACGUUACUCGCAGAAUAAGCACCGGCUAACUCUGUGCCAGCCGCCGCCGUAAGAC